rfam:Triticum aestivum genome assembly, contig: Triticum_aestivum_CS42_TGACv1_scaffold_030869_1BL
UAGUUACUCCCUCCGUCCAAAAAUAAUUAUCAUCAAAAUGGAUAAAAGGUGAUAUAUUUCAAACUAAAAUACGUCUAGAUAUGUCUAGAUACAUCUUUAUCCAUUUUGAUGACAAAUAUUCCCGGGCGGAGGGAGUAUAUU